rnacentral:rRNA from 1 species
CCUACGGGGGGCAGCAGUCUAGAAGCAUCGACAAUGGGGGCAACCCUGAUCGUGCGACGCCGCGUGCAGGACGAAGGUCUUCGGAUCGUAAACUGCUUUCGCCAGGGGAGAAGGAUCCAUGGGUUAACAGCCUGAGGAUUUGACGGUACCUGGUAAAGAAGCUCCGGCUAAGUCCGUGCCAGCAGCCGCGGUAAUACGGGCGGAGCAAGCGUUGUUCGGAUUUAUUGGGUGUAAAGGGUGCGCAGGCGGUCGACUAAGUCGAAAGUGAAAUGUCUACGGCUCAACCGAGACACUGCUUCCGAUACUGGUCGACUUGAGUGCGGAAGGGGAGCGUGGAAUUCCUGGUGUAGCGGUGAAAUGCGUAGAUAUCAGGAGGAACACCGGUGGCGAAGGCGACGCUCUGGUCCGUAACUGACGCUCAUGCACGAAAGCCAGGGGAG